rnacentral:lncRNA from 1 species
GGGCUGAACAUGAUUUCAGCAACAACAUGUUCAUGUCCAAAUGAAAAAUAUAUAAAGAGCAAGAGUGGGCAUUACACAUCUCUACUAUAAUUCAUCCAACAAAAUUAUGCUUGGUCCAAAAAAAAAAACCACCCCGCUGAGGGCCUCAACCAUUAUGUACCAAGCAAACGUACAAAGGUACAAAGGAUUUUAUCUCCAUUAAAAUCAACGUCUCAAAACCAACCAGACACAAAUCCAAUAGGGCUAGAGGAAAGUUUGAAACUUGUACCAAACUCUCAACCCCCUUCCACACUCCUUCCCCCUCAAAAGAAAAGACCGGCGGCAACGGUGUGGCGGCGUUCCGAGAGGGAUCCGCGCUGCCCAUCCUAGAUGGGCUCCUCGCUGACGAGGAAGCCAACAACCUCGAGGACGCCUUUGACUUCGUGUUCAUCUAGGUCCUGAUAAGAAAGGUAACAUGCUUACUGAUAGAAGUACUACAUGAUUUGCUUUCAUAACAUAGUAUAAUUAUAUGAUGAAUCGAACGUUACACCGAAACAUCCAUCUGGCUCCAGUUUCUGGCUGUCAUUUUGGACACAGAAGAAGGCAAACAAAAUACUGUAACAUCUAGGGAUAAAUAAUAAUCCGGAAGUCUGGCAUCUACUUUUUAUCUCACUCAUUUCCCGCCACUGAAAUUCAUUGGUACUCCGAUCCGUAGUAUUUGGUCAAAAUCUUCAUGUAUGAAAAAGGCAAAUAAGAUUUCACAUGUAUGCAUAAGUCACUUAAAAAUGAGGAAUAUAAGGAAAAAUAAUAAUCACCAAGGAUAACAUGUUUGUAGUAAAAAAACAAAGCAAGUAAAAUAGAAUAGUAGACCUACAACAACAGAGCUAGAACAUUCCAUCCAGCCAGGUGGUAAGCUUAAAGGGUCAAACAAAGAUGUUUUGUAUGGCAAGCACACAUGUAAUGUAAGGAUCACAGUUCACAGUUACCUCGUAAAUUAAUUAGGUUCAUUAUACUUCCAAAAAUAGAUGGGAAAUGAAGUAAUAUAUGAUAAUCCCAAGAUAAAUGAGGAUAUCUAUGAAAUAAGUUUCGUAACAGAGUCAUGGGAAUAUAUUAUGAAGACAUACACAUUAGAAUGAGCAGUUUCGAAUUAUAGGAAAGCAGAAAGUCAUCGCUAAAGGCUAGUUUUUAUGUACAUGAAAGAUAGUAUACUUUUGUUUUGUCAUCAGAUUUAGAUCUUGGCCUUAGCACACAUUGAAACUAAAGUCUGUGUAAAAAAAAACAGUAAGCCUUAGUAUCAACGGAUCAUAUUCUGUAGUCCAUGUAGUAUCCACAAUAAAAUAUGGACCGCGAAUGAACCAUCAGCACAUGUAUGGCAUUCGAUGUAACAGGAAAUCAUAUAUGAAGUAUUAGUGUAGCAAGGAAUCAAAAUUCUACAAUGCAACCACAGGCAUUAUGGAGUUGAAAGUUUGAAUGUCGGAAAGGUUGUUUGCAUGGAAUGAACUCUGCACUACUUUGUAAUAUGUAUAAGUCAUGACAUCAGCGCAUCUAACACACAUUCAUGGAUUCCUCAGUACAAAGCAAAUGCAUGAUAAUACUCACCUCAAAUGAUUGUUGCUAGGGGCAUAAAAAUUUGAUGUUAUGCUAAUGAACUGAACAAACAAUAUGUGCAGAUGAUUUCUCCUGCAAUGAAAAUUAUUGGCAAAGAAAAUAUUAGUACUAAAGUCUAUACUUAUGGUGACCGUCAUCAUUCAGAGGUAGUAGUGGACAUACUGGUAGCAAAGUACUUUUUGAUUACAUGUCUACUUGGCUACUUUUAUGGUACAUAAACAGAUACUUAAAAAAGUUAUUACUGGGAAAACCUUGUUCAGUCAAAGCAGGAAAACAGGAAGACACACUGAAUCUCAACUAUUGAAGAAGGUAAAAUACACCGCACAACAACACUACAAACAAAGGGAUUGCCACACUAAACGCAGCAACUAAACAAACAUAGGCAGGUAUGACCUAAAUAGGGAAGCGGCAUCAAAGUAAGGCCUUGUUUAGUUCGCGAAAUUUUUUGGCUUUGGCUACUGUGGCACUUUCAUCUGUAUUUGACAAUUAUUGUCCAAUCACGGACUAACUAGGCUCAAAAGAUUCGUCUCGCAAAUUACAGGCAAACUGUGCAAUUAGUUUUUGUUUUUGUCUAUAUUUAAUGCUCCAUGCAUGCGUUCAAAGAUUCAAUGUGACGGGGAAUCUUGAAAAUUUUUGGAAACUAAACCAGGCCUAAGGCUGAAAGCGGUUGGUUUUUUUCUUUUUUGCUUUUUUUGGUAAAAUAAUGGUUGGCUUAUGUAAUUUCAGAAUUUGUGGAUGUACAUAGGUACUAAUACAGCAUUGGAAUAGAAAAUUGUGGAUGCAAACAGGUACUAAUUGCAGCACUGAAACACUGAGAAGCACUACACUUCUGAAUAGUUUAUAAUUUACUGACCGGGGCAUGGGGCAGUCAAAAAUUGUGUCAUAAUAUAUUUUCCUAGAAGAAUUGUUGAAGUAGUAAAAGAGUGCAAUUCCUCACAUCACAGGAUCAUGGCACUUUAAUUUAGUAGGCCUACCUUUUUAAGAGCAUAUCUUAUGGUGAUGGAAUUCCAUUUCCUUCAAAUCUGAGAUAGAAGCCUUCAUACCACACAUUAAAAGGAGAGGUCCUGAUCUGAUCAGUGGACAUGAACAAUUCAGUUGUAGAAUAUUAAUAACGCUCCAUAUUUAAACAUGAAACUAUUUCUGUUCCAUAUCUGCGCAACAUUCGGAAGGUUUAGAUUGGAUGUGAAAGAGCUGACUCAGCAUUCAACAGGAAUGAACUCGGAACUCAAACAUGAAAAAUAAGUUACUUUAGUGAAAGCAUCCUUCUGUACCCAUCGAUGCUCAAUAUAUAGCUUCAAUCUGGUCCUUCUGUACCCAUUGACGCUCAAUAUAAGCUUCAAUCUGGUACUACAUAUGAACUUCAAUCAAACAAUAAGAAUGCACUGUAAAGAUUUCUGAGGGAAUUACAGUAAAAUGUAGGAAUUAUUUUGGCUAUAUAUAAACAUGCAUAGAGAUCAGGGAAAAUUACCAGAUUGAGUGAGAAGGAAGGAGCAUCCAGGAGUGCUUGUUGGGAAGUGUGAGGAGAUUGUUGGCCAUGAUGGAUGCACCGUGAGGAUGCUGACCGAAUGGAAAAGGAAAAUUACCAAGCAAACUCGUCUUGGACAUUUCAUCAAACACUUGAAGGGCAGAAAAUAGGAAGGGUAGAGGAACAACGGUUGGGGGCCUCAGGUGCCAGGGCGGUUGGGGACAGCCAUGCCGGUCACCGGAGCUGCCGGCGCGGGCAGUGAGCUAGAGCUCCAGAGACACGGGCAGGCAGACGGCAGUGGCCUGUGAGAAGAUGAGGAAGGCAUGUCACGUUGCAGGAGGCAUAGAAGAUGGGAGGACGGGAAGGACGAACCCCGAGGUUUUUGGAGAGGAUGUGACGGGGCAAACGGGAAGGGUGAACCCAGAGGCUGCUAGAGAGGUAGUGAUGGGGCAACUUGGCUGGCAUCCAUUCUGCAGAUCGGGCAGCUGGAAAGAGGCGAUGACGUGGCCGCUGCAGGAGCCGAUUUUGGUAUACAGAAAUAAGGUUUAUUAUGGUAGAUAAGGACAGAUAGCUUAGCAGGUACCAAAACUUGAUCGGGCUAAGCAUAGAAUAUCAGGAAUGUUAUGGAAACCAAUAGCCUGAAGAAAACCACUUUUAAGUUGUUUUAACCCAUAGGGAAGUCUUGUAAGUUGUAACCCAUUCAACUCAAAAAGGUAUCAACGACUAAAAUUGGUAGUUGUAGGAUUAGUACUUGAGAAAGCAUUAUUUUUCAUGUAAUAAUCCUUAUGCGUUACAUGUCUUAGUUUUCAGUUGUUAAAAGAAGCUAUGCGCUCAACAGGUAACAAAAUACGAUCCUAGAAAUAUUGUAAAAAUUCGAUGAUUAGAUGACUAUUUUCUAAGAAAGGUUAUAAUUGAAAAUCACAUAUUAGUGAGGCAUCCAUGUGAGGAUAAGAUAUUUUAAAAAGUGCAUUCAACUUAUAUAAUCAAUACCUAGGACGGUGAAUAUCAUGCAUUGAUCACAACAAAAUUCAGCUAACUAUAGUUCAAAUUGUAGCUUUAAUGUUUUGUUGCAUAAAUGAAUACAACUAUGUAUUUCUAAUUUCAGUUCUAGCAUUUACAGCAUGCUGGCAAUCCCUGAAUUUAUAGGAAUUGAUCUAAUUACGGGUAAAACUCCGUCUAUGGUGGGGUGCCUAUGGCAUCCAAGCAUAGCAGGUCCCAACCCUGGUUAAGGAGGAGGGUUGUGUUAGGCUUGGCGAGCCAAUGUAAAACUUAGCUACUCUUAUGGAGAUGAAACCCAAAAGAAUCCCGUUGGGGCGUAACCCUCUUAGCGACGCGCCAUGUCGGAACCCGGGUAUGGUGUUAAAUAAGCAAGGGCCGGGUCGUCACCCACGUGACGUGCCGUGUCGUGAUCUGGGCACGAUGUCAAGUGAGCAAGGGCCGGGUCAUUGCAUCCUUAGUGGCGCGCUACAUCGGCGCCGGGGUGUGGUGCAAAAUGAGCAAGGGUCUUCACACCAGUCUCCACGGGUGCGAAGGGUAAGGAAGCUAGUCGAGCCAACUAGGAUUCGUUUAGGUAGCUGGAAUGUAGAGUCCCUUAUGGGUAAGUUAAGAGAGUUAAAGUGGAUACAGCGGUUAGGAGGUGGGUACUUCCAUGGAAAAUCACGAGCAGCCACAGUUGUCGGCUUGUGGCAUUCAGGGUUUUUUAUCUUAACUCUGUGCUUGGAGCAUAACUUAUUGCAGUUACAAAAUCAACAAUCAUGUGAAGUUGGAUCUCAAGCAAGAGGUGAGUUACAAAAUCAACAAUCAUGUGAAGUUGGACCUCAAGCAAGAGGUGAGUCCAGCAAGUUACUUCCAUCUGUCAAGCAAAAUAACACACAAAAAAAAAAAACUCACUGAUCAUGAUCCCAUUGACAAUCAUUACUCAGAAUGCAUUGCUUCCUCUGGUCUAUGCAAGAUUGCUUCUGGAUCACCAGCAAGGUGAUGUGGUCAUUAAGAGGGAAAACAGUUGAAUUAAAAGUGGCAUUAGCACAUGGGGAAACCUUCAGCAUCACGACCAUUGCAGUCUGAGAAUGUAUUUAUCAAGAAGGUAUUUAGAUUUCAAGGGGUUGCAUCAAGAACACCUCCAUUUGUUGUUACCUAGUUAUGACAGACAUAUCAAACACCUUGUGCCUGAAUUCAAUCAGUAUUUAAGUGCUGCUUGAACUGAAUAGAAAAGCAAAUAGCUACUUAAGAACUGAAACAUGGUAUUCUCUUUGCACACCUAAAUCAUAAAUAGCUAGUCCAGGACAGUGACCAAGCUAUCACUAGUCCCUAAAUCAUAAAUAGCAGGUAUCAAAGACAUUUCACACACAUUAGUAGCUAUCACACAGUGAGUACAAAGAGGACUGGCUAGAACGAGUACUGCAACAAGAUCACAAAGACAGCCCCAAUAAGCAUUGAAGCAUGGUAUACACAUGGAGACAAAGCGAUGUGCUGUUUACCUCGUGGGAAUUUUGUCGAAUAUCUUCUGUUUGUCAGCUUGGAUUUUGGAUUGAACCUCAGCAUGAGGGGGACCGGGAGACCGAGGCUGGGGAGAGCGAUGAACCACGGCUUGGGUGGAGCCUAGCGGCGCUGGACGGCCGAGACCUUCAUUGCGAGGGCCGAGCGCUCCACCGACGGCGACGCCGCGCCGGGGUCGCCGUGGGAGGGGGGCGCCUCCGGGGCUGCAGCGCUCGAGCUUCACGACCGCGCCGGAGUGGCCGCAGCCGCCGUGCCUGCGCUCGCCGCCCGCGUCGGGGUGGCCGGAGCCGCCACGCGCGCACCGCCGGCCGCGCCGGGAUGUCCGAGACCGGAGAGGCCGGGGUCGCCGCGCCCGCACCUCGCCUGCGCCGGGGUCACCGGGAACGACGCGCACGCACCCGCCCACGCAUGGGCUGCUGGCCCACAGGGCCGCGCCGGGCUGAGAGAGGUGCGGGGGCGGCGGAGGACCCUCGCGGCUCUGAUUCCUCUGCACGACGGGGACGGGCAGAGGAGUCGCUUUACGGGUCGACGACCGAACCCAACCGAACCGACCCAACAAGAACGCACGCUCUCCCCCCUGUCACUUGACACUCACUCCUGCUGUCCCCCACUCCCCCUAGGUGCGGAUGACCCGGGGGCCGCCGCCGGCGGCCAAGAACGUCCGGCGCGGAUGCUCGCGCUGGCCGCUGGUGACGGUGGGGAGGACACCGGGAUAAACUACUACUAAGGAAC